rnacentral:lncRNA from 1 species
GAACAAUCAAGCAUAAUGGCAAGAUCAAGCUUGGUGUCAGGCUGUAUGACUUGUAAUUCUGUGAAAUUAUAAAACUUGUGAACAAAAGGGAAUGAGAAAUAUGUAACUGUGGAAGAUUCUCAGGCUGAUGGAGUGAGUGACAGAGUGGGUUGCCAACUCGAGUGACUCCACUCAGCGUACACAGUGGCUACGGGGGAUAGAUUCAGACAUGCCCAAAGAAGUCUGCCCAGGGGGAGACUCAUACCUUUGAGGUUUAAAUCAGGAUGAAGUUAUGCUUAAUAGCCUCUGUUUAAUUCAUUCAGAAACUACACGAUUCUUGUUGCUAUAUUUUGUUAAAAAGGAAGGAGAGGCUGUUUCUACAGGUGUUACAGAAAAAUCAAUACUGAGCCACGGAUUAUUGGAUCCCAUAGAACCAUGGAGACUUGGCAGUGAAAUUCUUCCAAAGGCAGACGGUGUUCCUAGGUUUGGAAGUAUAAAUCCCAGGGGAAGUGAGCUGAAGAACAUUUCAUGCAUCACUCAUCCUAUUAUGAGCCCUGUGCUGUUCCAUCUCUCUACAAGACUGGCAGAAACAACAACAAAAACUGUUUAUAAUUUACAUUCUAACUUUGGAUCACCUAGCUCAAACCCUGACUCUGACUACCCAGAGAGACAAGGCUUUGAAGGAAGAAGUAGCUAUUAG